rnacentral:rRNA from 1 species
UACAGAGGGUGCAAGCGUUGUUCGGAAUUAUUGGGCGUAAAGAGCUCGUAGGCGGUCUGUCGCGUCGGAUGUGAAAACUCGGGGCUCAACCCCGAGCCUGCAUUCGAUACGGGCAGACUAGAGGUAUGCAGGGGAGAACGGAAUUCCUGGUGUAGCGGUGAAAUGCGCAGAUAUCAGGAGGAACACCGGUGGCGAAGGCGGUUCUCUGGGCAUUACCUGACGCUGAGGAGCGAAAGUGUGGGGAGCGAACAGG